AACCCUAUGCGGUGGAUCACUUGGCUCGCGAGUCGAUGAAGAGCGCAGCAAACUGCGUGAAUUAAUGUGAUUUGCAGGACAC
rnacentral:rRNA from 1 species